GGUUGCAUCUCCUGAAAAGAGUCGUCCUGUCUCAUGUCCAACAAUAUCUGCGAUGUUGGAGGGUGCUAUGGACAACAGCAUCCACUUCGUAGAUGACCUGUCUACCUUGCUAGACCUAGACGUACAAUAUAAAAACCCCCGUAACUGGCAAGGACUGGCCCAGGCGUUCCUCGGUCUAUCUUACAAUAAGAUCAUGGAAAUCAGACACAAAACAAAAGAUCAUUUUAAGGAAGGCAUCUUGCCCUUACUGAGUUCGUAUGGAUAUACAGUGUAUGACGUGACAAAUUACUUCUCUCUUCUGCCGUCACGUCGAGUUGACGUUAUCGAAUGUAUUCAGCGUUAUCAUCCAAAUUGUCAAAAAUAUGGAGAAAUCUCAAUAGUCUUAAAUCUAAUAAUUUAAUGGACGCAUCAUAAUUUGAGUAUUUUUGAAGGUAAAAAGUCAUAAAUUCCAAUUUAGUACUACCAGUAAUUUAAAAUACAGCAGUUUGUUAAAAAAUGAAUUGAGAAAAAAAUCACUGGUUGGACUUAUACUCGGCACUUGAUGCUACAGACGGAGCUUUUAAUUUGUGACACCUUCUGCGAUACGAGACCUCGGUUUAUACGGUCUCAUCCAAAGGACCAGUAUACAUGUCCCGCAGUGGGAUUCGCACCCGCGACGUGAGGAUUAAACGCCUUACUCUGCAACUCUAGAGUUCAGGAUCUGACCACUGCCCUCGUGGGUGACAGACAGGAUACUAGUAUUUGUUAAUAUUAUUAAAUCGGACGAUUUUUAGUAUCAGGAUACAUGCCGACAUUCCCAUAUCGAGUAACGGGUUAUUCGGACAUUUUUUUUGUUACAUAACACCUGAUCAAAUAAAAACACACUUGCCCAAGGUAUACAUUUAAUGUAGUACCAGUAGUAUAAGAGCGUUUUUGCAAUUUGGCAAUUGUUUUAAUAUACACUGAAAAAGUCCGUGUGAAACGGGGAGUGUAUAUAUUUAAAAUAUAAAGACACAUCUUCAAAAUAUACACCACAGUGUUUUCUAUCCGAGCUAGUGAGUACUGUAACAUUUUA